rnacentral:rRNA from 1 species
UAGGGAAUCUUCGGCAAUGGACGAAAGUCUGACCGAGCAACGCCGCGUGAGUGAAGAAGGUUUUCGGAUCGUAAAACUCUGUUGUUAGAGAAGAACAAGGACGUUAGUAACUGAACGUCCCCUGACGGUAUCUAACCAGAAAGCCACGGCUAACUACGUGCCAGCAGCCGCGGUAAUACGUAGGUGGCAAGCGUUGUCCGGAUUUAUUGGGCGUAAAGCGAGCGCAGGCGGUUUCUUAAGUCUGAUGUGAAAGCCCCCGGCUCAACCGGGGAGGGUCAUUGGAAACUGGGAGACUGGAGUGCAGAAGAGGAGGGUGGAAUUCCAUGUGUAGCGGUGAAUUGCGUAGAUAUAUGGAGGAACACCAGUGGCGAAGGCGGCUCUCUGGUCUGUAACUGACGCUGAGGCUCGAAAGCGUGGGGAGCAAACAGG